rnacentral:rRNA from 1 species
AUGGCGCCGGUGGAGACGACGGCGGUGACGGUGGAGGAGGCGAUGAGGGCACAGCGGGCGGAGGGCCCGGCGACGGUGCUGGCCAUCGGCACGGCGACGCCAGACAACUGCGUGUCCCAGGCGGACUACGCGGACUACUACUUCCGCGUCACCAAGAGCGAGCACCUCGUCGACCUCAGGAAGAAGUUCAAGCGCAUGUGUAAGUAG